AAGCGUCCGUAGCCGGCUUGGUAAGUCUUUCGUCAAAUCCGGCGAUUCCAUCGUCGGACCGCGGAAGAUACUUCCAGGCUUGAGGACGGGAGAGGUCGACGGUAGUCCCGGGGUAGGGGUGAAAUCCUAUAAUCCCGGGAGGACCACCAGUGGCGAAGGCGGUCGACUAGAACGUGCCUGACGGUGAUGGACGAAAGCUGGGGGAGCGAACCGGAUUAGACACCCGGGUAGUCCCAGCCGUAAACGAUGCGAGCUAGGUGUUGGAGCAACUACGGGUUGCUCCAGUGCCGCAGAGAAGUUGUUAAGCUCGCCGCCUGGGAAGUACGGCCGCAAGGCUGAAACUUAAAGGAAUUGGCGGGGGAGCACCACAAGGGGUGAAGCCUGCGGUUCAAUUGGAGUCAACGCCGGGAAACUUACCGGGGCUGACAGCAGGGUGAAGGCCAGAUUGAGGGUCUUGCCAGACAAGCUGAGAGGAGGUGCAUGGCCGUCGCCAGUUCGUGCCGUGAGGUGUCCUGUUAAGUCAGGCAACGAACGAGACCCUCACCUCUAGUUGCCAGCGGAUUCCCUUGGAAUGCCGGGCACACUAGAGGGACUGCCGUCGAUAAGGCGGAGGAAG
rnacentral:rRNA from 1 species